rnacentral:rRNA from 1 species
UGAGUAACACGUUGGAACCUGCCCCAAAGUAAGGGAUAAGCCACCGAAAGGUGGUCUAAUACCUUAUAGUAUCCAUCUCGUAUGGAUUAAAGCUUUAUGCGCUUUGGGAGGGGCCUGCGUUUGAUUAGCUAGUUGGUGAGGUAAAAAGCUCACCAAGGGCGACGAUUAAUAGCUGGUUUGAGAGGAUGACCAGCCACACUGGGACUGAGAUACGGCCCAGACUCCUACGGGAGGCAGCAGUAAGGAAUCUUCCACAAUGGGGCAACCCUGAUGGAGCAAUACCGCGUGCAGGACGAAGCGUUUCGGCGUGUAAACUGCUUUUAUCACUGAAGAUUAUGACUGUAGGUGAAGAAUAAGGACCGGCUAACUACGUG